CGGGCUGUAGCGCAGUUGGUAGCGCACAUGCAUGGGGUGCAUGGGGUCGCGGGUUCGAGUCCCGCCAGCCCGA
rnacentral:tRNA from 1 species